rnacentral:lncRNA from 1 species
UGGAAGAAGAUGAAGAUGCUUACAAGAAACAGUUCUCUCAAUACAUAAAGAACAGUGUAACUCCAGACAUGAUGGAGGAGAUGUAUAAGAAAGCUCAUGCUGCUGUACCAGAGAAUCCGGUCUAUGAAAAGAAGCCCAAGAAAGAAGUUAAAAAGAAGAGGUGGAACCGUUCCAAAAUGUCCCUUGCUCAGAAGAAGGAUUGGGUAGCUCAAAAGAAGGCAAGCUUCCUCAGAGCUUAGGAGCGGGCUGCUGAGAGC